UUUUCCCGUCACAGUGCGUCUUCCUGCACCGCUUUCCUCGUGCACCUGGUGAAUUUCUGUUUUGCAGGUAAAUUCUUGCCACUGUUCCAGACUUCCAGCCACAGAACAGAACCCCUAGCCAGCCAGUGCCACCAGCAUCGAAAGGAAAUGUGUUUUCAUGGAUUGCCGUUUGAUGUUAAAUGAAAUAGCCCUCAAUUG